AGAAGGGAGAGAUUAGCGCGGUGCCGGCUGGCGCAGAGACGCGGCUGAAGCGCUCCAGCGGGAGCCCGGGGCCCUGCGGACCGUGCGAGAGGCAGAGGCGGAAGGAGCGGAGAUGCGGCCGCUCUCCCCGCGUUGCUGAAGCUCCCGGUGACCCGCCCGGGGGAGGGAGGCCGGGAAGGUCCGUCCUUCUCACUGCUCUGCGGGCACAAAGGGUGCCUGUGCAGUCCCCUCCUCUUGGUUUUACCCAGCCCCGGAGCAGGAGCCGCCGCCGCCCCCUAUCCCUUCUUGCGCUCUUCCCACCAUGAGCGGGGCUGUUUUCACCUUAUAAAGAUGGCGGUGUGGGAUCGCUGCAACCUUUAGACUAAUGACUGUCAGAAACAUCGCCUCCAUCUGUAAUAUGGUUCUUCAAGAGCAGCUACACGCAGUUGCCAGCUUCCCUCCAUGUGGUGCCCCAGCAUGCCUUGUGCUGGUGAUGCCACACAUACCAUUCAUCUGCCCUGGAGAAUGGAGCCUACCUCUAGGGGCACCAAUGCCUCUGCUCUGGAAAAAGACAUUGGCCCAGAGCAGUUUCCAAUCAAUGAACACUACUUCGGACUGGUUAAUUUUGGGAACACCUGCUACUGUAACUCCGUGCUGCAGGCAUUGUAUUUUUGCCGGCCAUUUCGGGAAAAUGUAUUAUCGUACAAGGCCCAACAGAAAAAGAAAGAAAAUCUCUUGACUUGUCUGGCAGAUCUUUUCCACAGUAUUGCUACUCAGAAGAAAAAAGUUGGAGUUAUUCCACCAAAAAAGUUCAUAUCAAGGUUACGAAAAGAGAACGAUCUCUUUGACAACUACAUGCAGCAGGAUGCACAUGAGUUUUUAAACUACCUGCUCAACACCAUUGCAGACAUUUUGCAGGAGGAGAAGAAGCAGGAAAAACAAAAUGGGAAACUGAAAAAUGGCAACAUGAAUGAAGCUGAAGAAAACAAUAAACAAGAACUCACCUGGGUGCAUGAGAUUUUUCAGGGAACACUGACUAACGAAACUAGAUGUUUGAACUGUGAAACCGUUAGUAGCAAAGAUGAAGAUUUUCUUGACCUUUCUGUUGAUGUGGAGCAGAACACAUCGAUUACACACUGUCUAAGAGACUUCAGUAACACAGAGACAUUAUGUAGUGAACAGAAAUACUACUGUGAAACUUGCUGCAGUAAACAAGAGGCACAGAAGAGGAUGAGAGUAAAAAAACUGCCAAUGAUUCUUGCCUUACACCUCAAGAGAUUCAAGUAUAUGGAGCAAUUGCACAGGUAUACUAAGCUGUCUUAUCGUGUAGUAUUUCCUCUGGAGUUACGUCUCUUCAACACAUCUGGCGAUGCUGUCAACUUAGAUCGGAUGUACGACUUGGUAGCUGUUGUUGUUCACUGUGGAAGUGGACCGAAUCGGGGACAUUAUAUUACUAUUGUGAAAAGUCAUGGAUUUUGGCUCUUGUUUGAUGAUGACAUUGUAGAGAAGAUGUGAGUGAACAGUGUCAACGAGAAUACAUGAAGCAGAAAAACUCAUGGAGGAACAGGAUGACUCAUGGACAGCAUAGCUGGAAGCAAAAAGCUUGUAAGACACAUGAAAAAAAUGUCAAUUGUGAAGAAUGUCAACAAAUUGCAUCAUACAGCAUUUUGUGAACCAACACUUCACACGCAUAAACGAUCUCCACUGAAUUCUACUCUGAUGAAGUUUUUGGUCUGGUCUCCCUUCUUGCAAAAGGACCAGUUCUCUUCUGUACAGACACUUUGCAAAUACAACUCUUUAGCUGUUUCUAGGAGAUACUGCAGUAUCUCUUAAAAACUGUUUUGUUUUAUUAAGAACUCAAAGUGUCACAUUUCCAUACCACUGCAAUUACCAGGUAACAGUGUUUUUACUUCCAAAAUGCCAUCUCCAAGUUUAUCAUCUCUCCGUGACUUGUAAUUCUUCUGGAUAAACAUGUUUGAGAUCUGUGAUGGUCUCCCUGGUGAUGGUUACCAUAGUGCUUCACAGGAUUUUAUUUCUGCUCAUUCCUCAAAAGCAGGACUGUGGUUCUCUGUGGGAGGCCCAGAGUUGCACCAGUCUCAGAUUUUAUUGCCUUUGCCAUUCUGCCCCCACUAAGGAGUAAACCACCCAGACAUGCCACUGUCAUCUUUACUGUAUUCCAUCAACUCUGCUUAAAAUAAAUGUUACAAAUCAAUCUCCUCCUUUUCUCAGCUCAUUA